rnacentral:rRNA from 1 species
CCUACGGGAGGCAGCAGUGGGGAAUAUUGGGCAAUGGGCGCAAGCCUGACCCAGCAACGCCGCGUGAAGGAAGAAGGCUUUCGGGUUGUAAACUUCUUUUCUCAGGGACGAAGCGAGUGACGGUACCUGACGAAUAAGCCACGGCUAACUACGUGCCAGCAGCCGCGGUAAUACGUAGGUGGCAGGCGUUAUCCGGAUUUACUGGGUGUAAAGGGCGUGUAGGCGGGGACGCAAGUCAGAUGUGAAAACCACGGGCUCAACCUGUGGCCUGCAUUUGAAACUGUGUUUCUUGAGUACUGGAGAGGCAGACGGAAUUCCUAGUGUAGCGGUGAAAUGCGUAGAUAUUAGGAGGAACACCAGUGGCGAAGGCGGUCUGCUGGAGAGCAACUGACGCUGAGGCGCGAAAGCGUGGGGAGCAAACAGGAUUAGAUACCCUGGUAGUC